rnacentral:rRNA from 1 species
CCUACGGGAGGCAGCAGUGAGGAAUAUUGGUCAAUGGACGAGAGUCUGAACCAGCCAAGUAGCGUGAAGGAUGACUGCCCUAUGGGUUGUAAACUUCUUUUAUAAGGGAAUAAAACGAGGCACGUGUGCCCUUUUGCAUGUACUUUAUGAAUAAGGAUCGGCUAACUCCGUGCCAGCAGCCGCGGUAAUACGGAGGAUCCGAGCGUUAUCCGGAUUUAUUGGGUUUAAAGGGAGCGUAGAUGGGUUGUUAAGUCAGUUGUGAAAGUUUGCGGCUCAACCGUAAAAUUGCAAUUGAUACUGGCAGUCUUGAGUUCAGUUGAGGUAGGCGGAAUUCGUGGUGUAGCGGUGAAAUGCUUAGAUAUCGCGAAGAACUCCGAUUGCGAAGGCAGCUUACUAAACUGUGACUGACACUGAUGCUCGAAAGUGUGGGUAUCAAACAGGAUUAGAUACCCUGGUAGUC